UCCCAAACAAUAUUUAUAAAUUCAAGGAGUUUGGCCAACUUAAACCAGAAGAUAUAAUUUAUUCAGAAUUAUUUGGUAAUAUUGUUUUGUAUACAAUAACUUCAUCUUCUAGCAUAUGUUAUCUAAUUUAAUUAUUUACAGUUAUAUAUUUGUUAAAAUAGAUUUGAUUGGCUUUAUUGUAUCUAUGCAAUCACCUUGCACUACAUUAGUUUCUGGGAAACAAAAAAGAUUCAUGGAGAUUGUUAUUCAAGAUCAUGAAUCCGGAACCUGUUGUGUUGAUAAUUCAGAUGUGUCGUGCAAAAAUGUAUAAUGGUGAGGUUUCAAUCACAAAUACAUUUGGUGCCACUAAGCUUGUGAUGGAU